rnacentral:misc_RNA from 1 species
UUUCCGUAGGUGAACCUGCGGAAGGAUCAUUGUAGAGUUCCUUUUCAAACGGAUGUGAAGUUGUACCAAUACCCAUCGAGAACUAAGCGUUUUUGCUGUCAGCACUUGCGUUGUUUAGAUGGGUUCCCUUUGCUGCCUUCAUCUUGCUUCAUUUGAAGUGAAGUUGUACCAAGGAUAGUCGUUGUUGGAGUACAUUGCCAUCUUUUUGAUGUCUUUUGUUACUCUACAAGCAAAUAGGUCUGAAUGACUCCUGGCAAUGGAUAUCUUGGCUCUC